rnacentral:rRNA from 1 species
GAUAAACGCUGGCGGCGUGCCUAACACAUGCAAGUCGAACGCCCUGGAGCAAUUCAGGGAGUGGCGGACGGGUGAGGAACACGUGGGUGAUCUGCCUUGAGGUGAGGAAUACCGGCGAGAAAUCGCCGACAAUACCGCAUAGGUUCGUAAGAACAAAGUCGCAAGACGCCUUGAGAUGAGCCUGCGUCCGAUUAGCCAGUUGGUGGGGUAAUGGCCUACCAAAGCAGCGAUCGGUAGCUGGUCUGAGAGGACGAUCAGCCACACUGGGAUUGAGAACGGCCCAGACUCC